rnacentral:snoRNA from 1 species
GCGUGAUGAACAAUUUUUAACACUUAGAACCCAUGUUCUUUGAGGAAGAAAACUACGCAACAACACUCUAAUUUUUUACUGACC